rnacentral:rRNA from 1 species
GCCAGCAGCCAUAUCACCCUGCAACUCACAACUGGCAACCCACUGAAGCGAAGCAGGUUUGAGUCAGUACCUGGAUGGGAGACCUCCUGGGAAAAACUAAGGUUGCUGCUGGAA